CUAAUCAACUUGAACAGACUGAAAAAAUCACAUGAGAGUCAUAAAAAUCAGUUUUCUGCAACAUUUAGGAAUAUUAAGCGGUGGUGGCUAUUUUGAAAAAUGUCUGCCACGGCCCUCAGGGGCCAAAUUUGCAGCACCCCGAUAUCUCUAUCUUUUCAUAACAUAUAAACCAAAUGUGUUGCUUUUAUCGCAAAAUGCACGAUUGUUGUGCUUAACUGUCCCGCUAUGAUAUCCAUCUGAACAUCUUAUUGUUGGAAAGAAAGCAAAUAAGUGUAUUUCCCAAAGUGUCAAACUAUUCCUUCAAGUCUAAACAUUAUUGCAGUAAUGGUCAAACAUGAUACACAGAGAGGCCUCUUAAAUACCAAAACAACAGUGAGACACGUCAGACAGACAGACAGAUAAAGAAAGAGACUGUCGU